GCUCGGAUAGUUUGGUUGGUAAAGCAUGAGACUCUUAAUCUCAGGGUUUGAUCCCCAUACUAAGCA